CGCCCUACCACUGUGCUAUAUACUAAAAUUGGAACGAUACAGAGAAGAUUAGCAUGGCCCCUGCACAAGGAUGACACGCAAAUUCAAUAUUCAUAUUAUAUUCAA